rfam:Helianthus annuus linkage group 14, whole genome shotgun sequence.
GAAUAUGAUGAGAAUUAUUGUCGCCCCAGUCUUAUGAGCUGCGUAAACGUACGUAUCUCUCUGGUGAUAGACAUAUUUAGAACCUGAUUC